rnacentral:rRNA from 1 species
CCUACGGGGGGCAGCAGUGAGGAAUCUUGGUCAAUGGACGCAAGUCUGAACCAGCAAUGCCGCGUGCAGGAAGACGGCUCUAUGAGUUGUAAACUGCUUUUGUACGAGGGUAAACGCAGAUCCGCGGAUCUGUCUGACAGUCUCGUACGAAUAAGGAUCGGCUAACUCCGUGCCAGCAGCCGCGGUAAUACGGAGGAGUCAAGCGUUAUCCGGAUUUAUUGGGUUUAAAGGGUGCGUAGGCGGUCGGAUAAGUUAGAGGUGAAAGCCCGAGGCUCAACUUCGGAAUUGACUGUGAUACUGUUCGGCUAGAGAGUAGGUGAGGUAGGCGGAAUGUAUGGUGUAGCGGUGAAAUGCUUAGAGAUCAUACAGAACACCGAUUGCGAAGGCAGCUUACCAAGCUACUUCUGACGUUGAGGCACGAAAGCGUGGGGAGCAAACAGGAUUAGAUACCCCUGUAGUC